rnacentral:rRNA from 1 species
UACAGAGGGUGCGAGCGUUAAUCGGAAUUACUGGGCGUAAAGCGCGCGUAGGCGGCUUUGCAAGUCGGGUGUGAAAUCCCCAGGCUUAACCUGGGAACUGCAUUCGAGACUGCAUUGCUAGAGUAUGGGAGAGGGAAGUGGAAUUUCCGGUGUAGCGGUGAAAUGCGUAGAUAUGCCAUAGAACACCAAUUGCGAAGGCAGCUGGCUAGACCUGGAUUGACGCUGAGGCACGAAAGCGUGGGGAGCGAACAGG